rnacentral:rRNA from 1 species
GGGGUGUGACUGCGUACCUUUUGUAUAAUGGGUCAGCGACUUAUAUUCUGUAGCAAGGUUAACCGAAUAGGGGAGCCGGAGGGAAACCGAGUCUUAAUUGGGCGUUAAGUUGCAGGGUAUAGACCCGAAACCCGGUGAUCUAGCCAUGGGCAGGUUGAAGGUUGGGUAACACUAACUGGAGGACCGAACCGACUAAUGUUGAAAAAUUAGCGGAUGACCUGUGGCUGGGGGUGAAAGGCCAAUCAAACCGGGAGAUAGCUGGUUCUCCCCGAAAGCUAUUUAGGUAGCGCCUCGUGAAUUCAUCUCCGGGGGUAGAGCACUGUUUCGGCUAGGGGGCCAUCCCGGCUUACCAACCCGAUGCAAACUGCGAAUACCGGAGAAUGUUAUCACGGGAGACACACGGCGGGUGCUAACGUCCGUCGUGAAGAGGGAAACAACCCAGACCGCCAGCUAAGGUCCCAAAGUCAUGGUUAAGUGGGAAACGAUGUGGGAAGGCCCAGACAGCCAGGAUGUUGGCUUAGAAGCAGCCAUCAUUUAAAGAAAGCGUAAUAGCUCACUGGUCGAGUCGGCCUGCGCGGAAGAUGUAACGGGGCUAAACCAUGCACCGAAGCUGCGGCAGCGAACGUAUCACUUAAAGCGAUUCAGCGGGUUACGAUUGACGGAGCGAAGCGACGUCAAAGCGUAUACAAAGUCGAGUCGGUUUAAGGAUACGUUCGUUGGGUAGGGGAGCGUUCUGUAAGCCUGUGAAGGUGGCCUGUGAGGGUUGCUGGAGGUAUCAGAAGUGCGAAUGCUGACAUAAGUAACGAUAAAGCGGGUGAAAAGCCCGCUCGCCGGAAGACCAAGGGUUCCUGUCCAACGUUAAUCGGGGCAGGGUGAGUCGACCCCUAAGGCGAGGCCGAAAGGCGUAGUCGAUGGGAAACGGGUUAAUAUUCCCGUACUUGGUGUUACUGCGAAGGGGGGACGGAGAAGGCUAUGUUGGCCGGGCGACGGUUGUCCCGGUUUAAGCGUGUAGGUGUGUGUUCCAGGUAAAUCCGGUU